rnacentral:rRNA from 1 species
AGUCAGUGGUGAAAGCCCAUCGCUCAACGGUGGAACGGCCAUUGAUACUGUUAAACUUGAAUUAUUAGGAAGUAACUAGAAUAUGUAGUGUAGCGGUGAAAUGCUUAGAGAUUACAUGGAAUACCAAUUGCGAAGGCAGGUUACUACUAAUGGAUUGACGCUGAUGGACGAAAGCGUGGGUAGCGAACAGGAUUAGAUACCCUGGUAGUCCACGCCGUAAACGAUGGAUACUAGCUGUUGGAAGCAAUUUCAGUGGCUAAGCGAAAGUGAUAAGU